rnacentral:rRNA from 2 species
CUGCGGCAGCGACGCUUAUGCGUUGUUGGGUAGGGGAGCGUUCUGUAAGCCUGUGAAGGUGUGCUGUGAGGUAUGCUGGAGGUAUCAGAAGUGCGAAUGCUGACAUAAGUAACGAUAAAGCGGGUGAAAAGCCCGCUCGCCGGAAGACCAAGGGUUCCUGUCCAACGUUAAUCGGGGCAGGGUGAGUCGACCCCUAAGGCGAGGCCGAAAGGCGUAGUCGAUGGGAAACAGGUUAAUAUUCCUGUACUUGGUGUUACUGCGAAGGGGGGACGGAGAAGGCUAUGUUGGCCGGGCGACGGUUGUCCCGGUUUAAGCGUGUAGGCUGGUUUUCCAGGCAAAUCCGGAAAAUCAAGGCCGAGGCGUGAUGACGAGGCACUACGGUGCUGAAGCAACAAAUGCCCUGCUUCCAGGAAAAGCCUCUAAGCAUCAGGUAACAUCAAAUCGUACCCCAAACCGACACAGGUGGUCAGGUAGAGAAUACCAAGGCGCUUGAGAGAACUCGGGUGAAGGAACUAGGCAAAAUGGUGCCGUAACUUCGGGAGAAGGCACGCUGAUACGUAGGUGAAGCGACUUGCUCGUGGAGCUGAAAUCAGUCGAAGAUACCAGCUGGCUGCAACUGUUUAUUAAAAACACAGCACUGUGCAAACACGAAAGUGGACGUAUACGGUGUGACGCCUGCCCGGUGCCGGAAGGUUAAUUGAUGGGGUUAGCGCAAGCGAAGCUCUUGAUCGAAGCCCCGGUAAACGGCGGCCGUAACUAUAACGGUCCUAAGGUAGCGAAAUUCCUUGUCGGGUAAGUUCCGACCUGCACGAAUGGCGUAAUGAUGGCCAGGCUGUCUCCACCCGAGACUCAGUGAAAUUGAACUCGCUGUGAAGAUGCAGUGUACCCGCGGCAAGACGGAAAGACCCCGUGAACCUUUACUAUAGCUUGACACUGAACAUUGAGCCUUGAUGUGUAGGAUAGGUGGGAGGCUUUGAAGUGUGGACGCCAGUCUGCAUGGAGCCGACCUUGAAAUACCACCCUUUAAUGUUUGAUGUUCUAACGUGGACCCGUGAUCCGGGUUGCGGACAGUGUCUGGUGGGUAGUUUGACUGGGGCGGUCUCCUCCUAAAGAGUAACGGAGGAGCACGAAGGUUGGCUAAUCCUGGUCGGACAUCAGGAGGUUAGUGCAAUGGCAUAAGCCAGCUUGACUGCGAGCGUGACGGCGCGAGCAGGUGCGAAAGCAGGUCAUAGUGAUCCGGUGGUUCUGAAUGGAAGGGCCAUCGCUCAACGGAUAAAAGGUACUCCGGGGAUAACAGGCUGAUACCGCCCAAGAGUUCAUAUCGACGGCGGUGUUUGGCACCUCGAUGUCGGCUCAUCACAUCCUGGGGCUGAAGUAGGUCCCAAGGGUAUGGCUGUUCGCCAUUUAAAGUGGUACGCGAGCUGGGUUUAGAACGUCGUGAGACAGUUCGGUCCCUAUCUGCCGUGGGCGCUGGAGAACUGAGGGGGGCUGCUCCUAGUACGAGAGGACCGGAGUGGACGCAUCACUGGUGUUCGGGUUGUCAUGCCAAUGGCACUGCCCGGUAGCUAAAUGCGGAAGAGAUAAGUGCUGAAAGCAUCUAAGCACGAAACUUGCCCCGAGAUGAGUUCUCCCUGACCCUUUAAGGGUCCUGAAGGAACGUUGAAGACGACGACGUUGAUAGGCCGGGUGUGUAAGCGCAGCGAUGCGUUGAGCUAACCGGUACUAAUGAACCGUGAGGCUUAACCUU